UACGGAGGGUGCAAGCGUUGUUCGGAUUUACUGGGCGUAAAGCGCGCGCAGGUGGGUGAACAAGUCGGAAGUGAAAUCUUGAGGCUCAACCUCGAGGCUGCUCCCGAAACUGUUCGCCUAGGGACUGGUAGAGGCUGGUAGAAUUCCCGGUGUAGUGGUGGAAUGCGUAGAGAUCGGGAAGAAUACCCGUGGCGAAGGCGGCCAGCUGGGCCAGGUCCGACACUGAGGCGCGAAAGCGUGGGGAGCAAACAGG
rnacentral:rRNA from 1 species